rnacentral:lncRNA from 1 species
UGCUUCUUGAGGCGACCGACGUGAUGGUGGCUGUGUACGGCGGCGACCACAAGCUCUUCGGUGAGUCGGCUCCAUCUUCUAGCCCUAGCUCCCUAUUUUCUGCUCCUAUAGCAUGCUUUGUUGGUUUAGAACACUAGCAGCAGUAGCCUAGCGUGUAUACACACUAAACAGCAGGAGCUCAAUCACCUUGUGUACACUAGCAGCUUGCUUACACACUUGUCACUUUUGCUUGUGGUAGCCAUUACGUAGCUGAAUCAUGUCUGUGUCUACUAAUCAUCAGUUCAUAGUAUUUGGCUUCUGUGUGAUUGUCUGCGACUAUUUUAUGGUGAUGUGGAUAUACUUUCUGAUUUAAAGUUACUAAUAUUUUUUGUUUUGAUUCUUUCUCUGGUGCGAGGAAAGCUGUGAGUAGACGUCAACGAUGCCUACUUGCUUGGCUGCUACAGUGAUGCAUGCGCCGGUCAAGCAAGCACACAUGCAUAUACGUACAUGUUAGGAUAGUAGCAGAUGUGCCAUAAUUCCUGUGUAAGGAAAUGUAUUCAUGAGAUGAUUUUGUUAUGUUAUCUAAACCUGGGAGAUGCGUUAUGUGAUGUGAUAUGAUGGAUGAUCUGAAUUCGACAUUGAGUUUUCCUGAUUUGAAUAUGAAACAAUGUCGGAUGCGUGUGUGUAACUGGAUUAAAGAGGUCUUGUGCCCAAACAAUUUUG